rnacentral:rRNA from 1 species
GACGAACGCUGGCGGCGUGCUUAACACAUGCAAGUCGAACGGAACUGCCCUGCUUUUGUGGGGUGCUCGAGUGGCGAACGGAUGAGUAACACGAGAGUAACCUUCACAUGACUUUGGGAUAACUUCAGGAAACUGGGGCUAAUACCGGACAGGAGCUCCUGCUGCAUGGUGGUGGUUGGCAAGUUUCGGCGGUUGGGGAUGGAGUGGCGGUAUAUCAGUUUGUUGGUGGGGUAGUGGCUUACCAAGGCUUUGACGGGUAGCCGGCCUGAGAAGGUGACCGGCCACAUUGGGACUGAGAUACGGCCCAGAAUCGUACGGGCGGCAGCAGUGGAGAAUAUUGCACAAUGGGCGGACGCCUGAUGCAGCAACGCCGCGUGCGGGAUGACGGCCUUCGGGUUGUAAACCGCUUUCGCAUGUGACGAAGAGUGAGUGACGGUAAUGAGUAAAGAAGCACCGGCUAACUACGUG